UGUGAUGAUUUAGUUCAAAACUUGCAAAAUUUCACUAAGGGCUUCCAGAACUUGGCACCCUAUGUGGUGAUUUGGUCCAGAGCGAAUCACAGCGCGACAAGUGGCAGUCCAGAGCUUGGACCGGUUAGCACUGGCAUUUUUUCAAUAAACCCCCUGCCAUUCCGUCGAUUUAACCCGCACUGGUUAGUGCUCAUCUUCUCCACCGCAGAUUUGCUCGUCGGGGUGUUCAUCGAUGCCAUUCUCGAGCUGCGGGGGGUCCCGGCGAGGACGCGGAUCUGGUGCGUUGUCGCCUGGUUGUUCAACCCCUUCACCUUCACCAUCGGCACCAAAGGGAACUGCGAGCCCAUCAUCUGCGCCGCCAUGCUCUGGAUCCUCAUCUGCUUGAUGAAGGGUGUAGAGUACUGGAAGCAGCAUUCUUGUAUGGGCUGAUUGUGCACGUCAGAAUAAUCAUUUGAGAUAGCAGUCACUUGAGUGUGUAAACUCAAGCUCCUUUUUGCUGCUGGCUAGAGUAGUUACUGCUAUCCUGGAGUUGAGCAAUACUUGAGCACUCAGAUGCGAUGAAAAAUUAGAUAUGCGAAAUGGGCAGUAAAUAACUCUUUACUGUAAUUUGUUUUCUUCCAAAUAAUUCCAGCACCAACACUAUUAGGGAAAA